rnacentral:rRNA from 1 species
GCUUGCUCCUGGUGGCGAGUGGCGAACGGGUGAGUAAUAUAUCGGAACGUACCCUAGAGUGGGGGAUAACGCCGAAAGUUGGCUAAUACCGCAUACGAUCUACGGAUGAAAGUGGGGGAUCGCAAGACCUCAUGCUCAUGGAGCGGCCGAUAUCUGAUUAGCUAGUUGGUAGGGUAAAGGCCUACCAAGGCGACGAUCAGUAGCUGGUCUGAGAGGACGACCAGCCACACUGGAACUGAGACACGGUCCAGACUCCUACGGGAGGCAGCAGUGGGGAAUUUUGGACAAUGGGCGCAAGCCUGAUCCAGCAAUGCCGCGUGAGUGAAGAAGGCCUUCGGGUUGUAAAGCUCUUUUGUCAGGGAAGAAACGGUUGCGGCUAAUAUCCGCAGCUAAUGACGGUACCUGAAGAAUAAGCACCGGCUAACUACGUGCCAGCAGCCGCGGUAAUACGUAGGGUGCAAGCGUUAAUCGGAAUUACUGGGCGUAAAGCGUGCGCAGGCGGUUUUGUAAGUCUGUUGUGAAAUCCCCGGGCUUAACCUGGGAAUGGCAAUGGAACUGCGGCUAGAUCUGGCAGAGGGGGGUAGAUCACUGUAGCAUGAAUGCG